rnacentral:lncRNA from 1 species
GGUCAGGGGUCACUACCCUAACCCGGCUACUACAAGAGUCUCGAUCGUCCUCCAACCUUUCAUCUGUCCCAGGAUUAAGAUUUCACCUGAUGACACGCCCAGAAGUGCGGGAAGGACUGGCCAAGUGGAAGUCUACCACGCGAUGCUCGUGGACUGACUGAGGAGUACCCAGCCCGGAGCGCGCUCAGCCUGUGGCCGGCCUCCUCACCAAGGGGUAGGCAGGUGCCCAGAAUGCUGGAGGAUGCCCGAAAUUUCCUAUGCACAUACAAGCUUACUGUUGAAGUCCUCUCAUCCAAUGCACUCAGAACGGGACUGUAAGUCCAGCUGCUGUGUAUCAUCACCUCAGCCCGAUUGGUCCUCGGCCACACUUCACUUCAGCUUCUGAUAGGUCCUGGGCCAAGCUAAGCAGCAUCUAUGAAUCAUUUCACCUCCUGACUGGUCCCGGGCCAAGCCGAGUCACGCAUUCGCCAAGACAGCCCCCAGACUAAGCACAUUCCUUCCCCUUCCGUCCAUAAAAACCUGGACCCCAGCCUCAUGAUGGGCACUCCCGUUCGGGACCCCCUCUCUGCUGGCAGAGAGCUUUCUUCUUUCACCUUAUUAAACUUUCACUCUAACCUCACCUUUGUGUCCGUGCUCCAUAAUCGUCUUGGAGGUGGGACAAGAACUCCAGGUGUUAUCUCAGACAACGAAAGACUGUUUCAAUAAUGUAGUAUAUAAGUGGACAAGAACUCCAGGUGUUAUCUCAGACAACGAAAGACUGUUUCAAUAAUAUAGUAUAUAAG